GAAUUCCCACCGAGAAGGAACUAGCUAUUCACUCGUAGCGAGUCUUGAAGGGCAAGGGAAACUUAUGUCUUUAAGCAUAGACAGUUUGAAGAAAUAUUAACGUUAAAAGAUUAGUUGUUAUAUGUAAGACCU
rfam:Bacillus sp. FJAT-27997 Scaffold1, whole genome shotgun sequence.